AACGCACAUUGCGCCCCUUGGUAUUCCUUGGGGCAUGCCUGUUCGAGCGUCAUUUACACCCUCAAGCUCUGCUUGGUGUUGGGCGUCUGUCCCGCCUCCCGCGCGUGGACUCGCCUCAAAGCGAUUGGCGGCUGGUAUGAUGGCCUGGAGUGCAGCAGGAUUGCGCCCCUUGUCCGGAGGCCGGCUCCCACAAGCUAAACCCCCACUAUUUUUGACCUCGAAUCAGGUAGGGAUACCCGCUGAACUUAA
rnacentral:misc_RNA from 1 species